rnacentral:lncRNA from 10 species
GGGACUUCCAAGUGUCCAAAAACAAUCCAUUGAUACACUUGGUGACAUUAAUUGAGAAAAAAACAAUAUGGUCUGGCCAUGGAGGCAUGGUAUCCGUAACAUCCCCCAAAGGAGCUAAAGAAGAAAUCCACAAUUUACCAUGAGCAUUUCUCGUCUGAAGAUUGCCAAGCGAUUCCUCCAGGACAUUCCUCAAGAUCAAUUUCUGUUCAUCCACCUUGUCCUGGGAGGGACAUCAAUGGGUUUCCAUGUCCUUUGGCUUCUGGUUGAGUUCACUCAGUGGAGAACCCUGGCAAGAGGCAGGAAAAGGGGAGGAAGGCUUUAUGAUACAUGUGUUGAAUGUGCAGCCUGACCGGUUUGAAUUUCACCUUCUGUUCACCUUGGAUGAGAGCAGUAAUCAUCACGAUCCCAGGGAACAGCCAAAGGAAGAGAAAAGGCAAAAGAUUUGGACAAGACUCAUGAAGACUAACAGCUCUUGGAUAAUUGAGAGAAGGCAGCUGCGUGAACAGUUUUGAUGCAAUCAUGAAGGCAGGGCCCAGUGCCUGUGGCAUCUGCCUUUUUCUGGAACCAAUCCAUAUUUCCUUGUGGUUUUCUAAGGUGCAGAGAGGGCACAUUGGGAACUUUGCUUGGGGUCUUUUUCACAUCUUAGAGGGAAGGUCCCUCAACAUCUGCAUUGGCGGAGUGUGAUCCUCAUGUCCCUCUGAAUGAUCUGGACUUGAGGUAACCAGCCCCUUCCAGGAAGCUGUCCCAUGAGUGAAGCCUCAGCAGCAGCCUCUGUCAGUCCCUCCCCCACAGAACCUUUGGCUUCCAUUUGACCAGCCUUGACAUCCAGUGUCCAAACACCGAUAAAAUUGAUUCCACUAAGCGUGGGAAAGUCCUGGAGCAUCGAUUGUUUCCUCCUCUGCACCCCCGAUACCCUGGCAUUAGCACUCUCCCAGAAUGUACCUUGCUUGUUUGAUUGGAG